rnacentral:rRNA from 1 species
AGCGAACGCUGGCGGCAGGCCUAACACAUGCAAGUCGAACGGGCUCUUCGGAGCUAGUGGCGGACGGGUGAGUAACACGUGGGAACGUGCCUUUAGGUUCGGAAUAAGCCCGGGAAACUGGGUCUAAUACCGAAUGUGCCCUUCGGGGGAAAGAUUUAUCGCCUUUAGAGCGGCCCGCGUCUGAUUAGCUAGUUGGUGAGGUAAUGGCUCACCAAGGCGACGAUCAGUAGCUGGUCUGAGAGGAUGACCAGCCACAUUGGGACUGAGACACGGCCCAAACUCCUACGGGAGGCAGCAGUGGGGAAUCUUGCGCAAUGGGCGAAAGCCUGACGCAGCCAUGCCGCGUGGAUGAUGAAGGUCUUAGGAUUGUAAAAUCCUUUCACCGGUGAAGAUAAUGACUGUAGCCGGAGAAGAAGCCCCGGCUAACUUCGUGCCAGCCGCCGCAGUAAAAC